UUAAAUAUUUAAGUCAUUUAAUGUAUUGCAGCUUUUACAUUAUGAAACUUUUAUUUGAAAACAUGUCUCUGAGUCUUCAUACUGUUGAAUGUGAUCGUCAGGAAUCUGAAUAACACGUAUGAUAAAGCAGAGGUGAAUCAGCAGAUCCUGCCAUCAGAGUCCUCCGGAUCAGCAGCACACGGUGAUGUGUGUGCUGAAUCUGUGAAGCCGAAGCCGGUACAGAUGAACGGACACCCAUUGGUCAGGAGCACAGUGACUCCACCCCUCACUCAGCCUGACAGCAAUGAGGCCACGCCCCUAAUGAGGAGACUGAAGUCCAGAUUCUGCACGGUCAUGUGACAUAAAGGAUAAUAUCUCCAUAGAGAUGAGGUUUUCUAGUUUUUUAGGAAUUGUGUUUGCCAUGGCGACGCUUCCAGACUGCAAACACAAGCAUUCAAGAUUAAAGAUGGAGAGGAGCUGCACCUGCAUUAGUGGACAUCACCUGUCUGAAUGUAUUUUCUAUUAAAAUGAGAUAUUUUAAAGGGUGGAUGAGACGCCCUGAACUCUUGGGAUGCCAACUGUGUGAUCAUAAAUCAUGUAUUAUUUCAUGCAGUAUUUCUGGAUUUCAGCAGGACAAAUGUCUUCUCAUUAUUGUCUCAUUUCAGUCUCAUUACACUUUCAUCCACUUUGAAUCCACCUGCCAGUAAAGUCAGUAAAGUGAUCUUCCAUACAAACGUAUUUCAUGUCCGAAAAAGACUUUACAUUGUUAAAUUGUUAGUCUGAGAUUUCUAGGUUUUUAUACUUAAAAUUAUAUGAUAGCCACACUGUUCCUUGUAGUACAGCAUAACAUUACAGGAUUACUUAAUUUCUUUUCGACUGAAGAAAGAAAGACGUGAACAUCUUGGAUGACACGGGGGUGAGUAAAUUAACAGGAAAUUUUUUUCUGGAAUUGAACUAAUCUUUUAAGAAAACAGUAAUGUUAG